GGGGCUGUUUGGUUUUGACAGCGGGUAGAAGAGGUAUGUAAGCAUGCAGUGCGUUGUCGGAUAGCACUUUAAUCAUAGACGGCAAAAUAUAACUGGCGAAACAAAUUACGCUCUUGCUGCUUAAUCGAAGUAUAGUAGAUUAGCUUUAUUCCAUCGCAGAUGAUGGAACGAGACAUCUCCCGAAUGCCAAGUCCCGAAGCGGUUCGACAAGGAGGUGUAGGAAAAUCGGGAAUAGUUUUGGUAGGCCGUGCUGCCAAAAUGAAGUUUUAGCGGAUAAGGUGUCAAUUGGUGGCUUCGGUCUUGUUGGCACACGAAAACUGAAGGCGAAGAUAAGCAUGUAGAAAGCAUAUUGCUUCCUCGUUUGGACACGGGUUCGACUCCCGUCAGCUCCACGA
rnacentral:tmRNA from 1 species